GAAACGCUCUCACAAAUCUUAAAAGAGGCAGAAACUGCAUAUUCAUCACCAGCUGCCCCAGGUUAGAUGCCUCUGUGCAGGGCACAAAUCACACAGCUUUACCCAGCGUCCUGUGAGCCUCAAAACCACAGGCACAUGAUUAUGCUGAACUGCUCUCAGAGGGAGGCUUGAUGGAGCCAUGAAGAAGAGGUAGAAACAAAAUAGCAGACAGGAAAAAGUAUCUGCAGCAAAGAAACAGCAUGGGUGAAGUCCUGCAGAAAGGCAGUUGGACCAAGGCAAGAUGACCUGCAGAAACUCUGCCAGUGAUAAAACGGAUGCAUCUCUCAACUGACAAAAUAACCACAAAAUCUCUGCUUUUCGUGCCUGUGCCCAGUGUUUGAGGAUGAUGGAAAUCACAGAGAUAAAACACCUAAUACAUUCAUCUGUUUGCAGAAAAGGUUGCAUCUAAUUAGUAGGUAUAAUGUUAAUUCUGACAUAAAUUACAGAAUAAAAUAAUGGACAUGAACAUAAUACAAAAAUGCUAAGGCUGAACAAAUAAAAGAUUAAGAAAAUUUCAAGAUAAAAGGAGGGUUUAGCAAAAGAUACAAAAUGAACAUCUGAACUGGAUUAUUUUUAACCUCUGACUAUUCUAACACAUGUCCUGUAUCUGUGGGUAAUGCUUAGACAGCUUAUUAGAAAUUUAGCAAUUUAUAUAAAUGUCUUAUUUGUUACUGACACAAAUAAAAAUAUAUGCUUAUAUUUGUAUAAUAUUAAGUGAAUGGGAUUAAAAAUAUAUCUUGAAUACCGUCA
rnacentral:lncRNA from 10 species